GCUGGGUGUGGUGGUGUAUGCCUGUAAUUCCAGUGACUCAGGAGGCUGAGACAGAAGGAUCAUGAGUUCAAAGCCAGCCUCAGCAAUUUAGUGAGGUCCUAAGCAUCUCAGUGAGACCCUGUCUCUG
rnacentral:sRNA from 1 species